AGUCUGACCCUUUUCUGCUUCAUGAACCUCAAAAACGCUCAUUAGAAAUUGAUUGAUCUCUGUUCCGGCCUUUGAAAAUAGUUUAUGAAAGCGGCGAAGAAUACGGCCCAAAGAGUCAGGAGGGGGGAGGGAGCAACGAUAUUAACGACGAUUCAGAGACGGCCUUCACCAUAAGAUCGCCUUGAUUUUUAAGAUCCACUAGACGGGAAGGGCAGAUGUCAGAAUGUCCGUGUGAGAAGGUGAAGAACGAAAAUUGAGCGAUUGAACAGAUGUCAAAGUGGAAAAGUGAAAAAAAGAGGAGGAACAGGUGGAACAGGGAAAGUCAAAAUGAUCGUGAAGGAAAGGAGGAACGAGUCGAACAGUGAAUGUCAGAAUGAACAUGAAGGAAAGUGAAAAAAAGAGGAGGGACAGGUGGAACGUGAAUGUCAGAAUGAUCAUGAUAGAAAGGAGGAACAUGAAUCUUAGAAUGGUCAUGAAAGAAAGUAAAAGAAGCGAAGGGAGAGAUUGAACAGUGAAUGUCAGAAUGAUCAUGUAGAAGAGUGAAUUAAAGAGAUGGAGAGGUGGAGCAGCAAACGUCAGAAUGAUCAUGUGGAAGAGUGAAUAAAAGAGAUGGAGAGGUGGAGCAGCGAACGUCAGAAUGAUCAUGUGGAAGAGUGAAUUAAAGAGAUGGAGAGGUGGAGCAGCAAACGUCAGAAUGAUCAUGUGGAAGAGUGAAUAAAAGAGAUGGAGAGGUGGAGCAGCGAACGUCAGAAUGAUCAUGUGGAAGAGUGAAUUAAAGAGAUGGAGAGGUGGAGCAGCAAACGUCAGAACGGUCAUUUGGGAGAGUGAAUGAGGGAGACAGGGAGGUGGAGAGGGAGUGGAAAUUGUCCGUGACCAUUAUGCAGACGACGUAGAGUGGAGACGAGACAAGUUGCAAGGUUUCGCGAGGGAGUUUGUUUCGCGAGCAUUGACAGGCGGUGAAGGAGAGAAAGUUUGGGAUGUGUUUUUGGAGGAAGAGAGAGAAGUGUGGCGUGACGGAAGCGUGCUGUUGGGUGAGGCAAUGGAUGUGGCAAGAUCGAAGUAUUUCGAUCUUGGGAUGUGGGAAGCGAGAAAUAAUAGACUGAAAAAUGCUAAGUUUGUGAUGUGUUUUGUAGUGACAGUAGCGCUGAACGAAGAGAAAAGUUAAUAUGAGAGAGAGGAGGUAGUGCGUCUAGGGAGGACCAUGGAGUAUCGUGAGUCCCGAAGGAGGAUCUUGAUAUGAUUUUUUUCUUGUCAGCGUUGGGGCAUGAAAUUUUAUCCUGUCAAGACUAGUAGUGUCAAUUUUACAGUCACCACAUCCACCGUAUCCGGAUAUCUUAAUUGACACCCAAGCAAUCCACUCUCGUAACUCUUUAAUAUUACUUGGAGGCAGUGGUGGGCACCGCUAACCGAAAUUUAGCUUCGAUAACUGGUUUAGCAAUCCACUAACUAAAAAGCUUCGCUAACGCCAAACCGCUAAACUGAUAAAGAAAUUAGUGGAAACUAACGCUAACCGCUAACUUUUUUAUAUAUGGGUUUAGCUUCGGUUUAGUAUUUUGGCACUAAAAACCCGUGUCCGUCAGUGAUGGUCUCCUUGGGUUGGCACAUGACGCACCGGUAAUGCAAGACACUGUGCUCGUCAUUUCUCUUGAUUUAAGGACAAAGUACUUCUCCAGGUCGGGCCACGGGUUCUGGAACUUCUGGGCCUCCUGGCCGUCAGCUUGAGUGUCCUCCGCCUCACCCACAGCUGCUGCCGGCUCCCUAACAGGGUCAGCAUCCUCAGGCGGAACAAAAACGUCCUCACUCUGGUCACCUUCCAUGACAUCGAUAACGAUAAACAAGGCGACAAUAAUGAACGCGACUACACGGUGACAACGUCGCAGCUGAACUGAACAAAGAGCCCAACAAGCAACAACAAAAAGAGAAGAGAAGGAAGCCUACGGUUUAUCCUAAAUCCGUAUAUUUUACCCAAGAUUUCCUGCAAAUUUACACAUUUUUUUACUCUUUUCCAUAACUGACACAUUUUAAUUAUUUUAAGUUUAUUUCUUGUCAGGUGGAAAAUAUCGAAUUCUUGUUAUUAAAUCCCGAGUUCAAAGAGUUGGAAAUGGAAGAUACAUUACGCAAAAAUACCAAAAAGUUUCCCUAAUAAUUGUCCGAUUACCCUGCUUGAAGGCGUGAUUUACCCAAAAGUUUUAGAAGCCCUGGAAUUAUUGCGCCAUGUGGCUCAACUGGUGCUGUGUCUGCCCACAACGGACAAGACCAAACCUGUAUGAAUUUUUUUUAGCGGAGGAGGAACUACACUUAGCGGAAGCUAAUUGAUCUGCUAACUGUUUCCAAAGUUAGCGAAAACGCUAAUCAGCUAACGAAAAGGAUAGCUUCGCUAAUUAGAGGUUAGCGGAACCGUGCCCAUCAUAGCUUGGGGGUAACAUUAGAUUCCAAGUUGACCUUUGAGAAUCGCAUAAAGAAGAUGAGUACCGUGUCCAGUUUGAAUGUCGGCAGCUCCAUUUCAUCUCAAAGUUUUCGAUCGUUCUUUUAACUCGAAAAAGUUUCUAUACUACCCAACCGCAACAUGCAACUUUGUCAUCAUCGAAUGGUUGGUGCAACGAUCCUGUUUUUUAGGAUUAUUGAUAAUCGUGAGCACACCCUUCACGACGCAUUACCGGCUCACGCAAUUUACAAAUCAGUGAGCGUGCUCUUCAACCAUGUUUUUACCCGAUUAAUCAAUUUUCCCGUUCAUUUAUCCCAAAUUCGAUUAAAAUGUGAAAUGUACUUUCAGAUGAAAUAGUUUCUCGUUGCUGUUGAAAAGUUUCAUGCAAAAUUCAACACCCACCUGUUAACUAAUUUAGUAAUUAUUGUUGUCCUCCCCUAUUUCUACAGUCUCCUUACUUUACUGUCAGUUUUAUUUUUCAUAAUCACGUCUGCUCUUCGAGGGGACUCAUCCUUGAUGGCCUGUCAUGGAUAUCAAUCAUAAUAAUAGUGUAUGGAUGUGACCGCACUGGAGGACAUGAAAAGAAACAUCCUGAGGUACUUGGAUUGCUUAAAACGAACAGGGGCAAGAGAAAGUGAACUAGAAGCCAAAGAGAAUGUGAGAGUGGCUUGUCAGGCCAUGAAUAGAGUGGAGGAGAGUGAAGUGAGUGGAGAAAAUGGAUGGCAGAUGAGAUCCGGUGAAGUUGAGAGUGGAGGGAGUGGAAAAAAUGGACGAUAGAUGAGAAACGAUGAAGUUAAAGUGGAGUGAGUGGAGAAGAUGGAUUAUAGGUCAGAUACGGUGAAGUUGAGGUGAAGUUUGUUCUUGGGAGGCCGCACAGCAGUCCCCUCUGAAGAUAGGAGUAUAAGCUGAUUGAUUACUUGGCGAGGUCGAGGAUUAAUUAACUAAUUCGUAAUUGCGAGGAGGGAAGGAUUAGUGUUCUCCGCCGCACGUCUACACAUUUACAUACAAUGGUUUCCAACACUAUUCGUCCAGCGUUACCAGAUUAUCGCACUUAGAACAUUGCAUUCAUCAGUUUCAGGCACCAAAACUGUCGUUGCCACAUCAGUAACGAUAUCCAAUUAAAAUUAGUGUUAAAACCGUAAAGUAUCGAUGUUUAUUUUUAAUUACCUAUGGGUCAGAAACCGGAAAGUACGGUGUGUUAAGUACGAUAGUCUGAUCAAGGUCUAUAUAUACCAAGUUAAGUUAUACGCAGCUUUGUGGGAGGAGACACGGGAGAGGCGUGGUUAAUGCAUGACGUUGCUUGGAGCCAAACUAGAGAAUGUAGAAACAGGGAUUUAGAGAAAACGAAGAAAGGCGGACUAAUUUAAAUCAAUCACUUCACCACUUCUGGACCUAUUCUACACUGGAUCAUUGCAUUUCUUAGUAACCGGACUCAACGUGUUCUUAUUGACGGAUCUUCAUCUGACACUGUCCCUGUUUCUUCAGGUGUCCCGUAAGGCACCGUUCUAGGCUCCCUUCUUCCUGUACAUUAACAAUCUUCCACUCAACGCCUAACUCUUCCACUAGACUAUUUCCCGACGAUAGUUUGCUGUUUAGAGCAGUAAAGACUACUGACGACUGCAGACUGCUACAAAAAGACUUGGACGCCCUCCAGCGGUGGGAGCGCACCUGGCAGAUGCAUUUCCGCCCUGACAAGUGCAAACUGUUAAGAUUCACCAGAGCUCACAACUCCAUCCAUCACACUUACACUCUCCAUAAUUCAGAACUUGAAUCAGUCCACACACACAAGUAUCUUGGUGUCCACCUCUCCACUAACCUAAAGUUCAACACUCACAUAGACCACAUCAGUGCCACAGCCAACCUAACUCUGGGGUUCCUGAGAAGGAAUUUACAUAACUGCACACCUGACAUUAAACACAUAGCUUAUAACACACUUGUGAGACCAACACUUGAAUACUGCUCCACGGUGAGGGAUCCUUACACACACAGAAACAUUGAUAGGUUAGAACAAAUCAACACCAAGGCGGCUAGUUUCAUUACAAACAAUUACACUCAAACGCCUGGCAUCACAACACCGAUCAAACAACAGAUAAACAUGUAACUUCUUCACUUACGCAGACAAGCACACAGACUUACAUUUAUGUACAAAAUUACAAACACUCACAUUGACAUACCUACACAACGUAAACAUUCAACGUACUCGUAACACACACAUCCAUAAAUACCAAUUAUAUCACACUAACACUGACGCAUAGAAGCACUCAUACUUUCCACGCACCAUACGUGACUGGAACAGCCUCCCUCAACAGAUUUUAGACUGGGGUACAGUAGACUCAUUCAGAAAACAAAUACACAAUCACUUGUCACCACAACACACCAACACUAACAAUUACGCCUGAUUCGCUUCCCUCCCCUGCACACUCGGCUCCCCGUCCCCCCCAACAGCCAAUGCAAAUAUGCGUGUUAUGCACCUGUACAGGUCCCCUGCGCAUAUUUUUUCGUCAGUGGCUUGCCUGAACGCGCUGUGAAAGAAGGUGAGAAUGCACAUCCAAAGUGCACACACGACCGCAACUUUAGUCACCUGUGAACUGGCUUCAAGUGACAUCAUCACGCUCCUCCGCCCCAAACCGCCCCCUGUGCGUGCUGCUGGUCGCAGUUUUGAAGGCAGAGUGACUUGACUUGGUAUAUAUAGACUUUGAGUCUGGUAACACUUUAUUCGUCCCGUCUCAGUAAGCUUUCACCCAACCCUUCCUUCACCCCUCCGUCAGCAGUGAACGCCUCCUGAAAUUCGUUUUGAGUGAGUUAUCUUCACACUUCUUGCCAGUUUAUUCAGCUACCUCAUUCAGUCACUUCAAACCCUCAUUCAGUCACUUCAAACCCU